CCCACACGCCCCGGGCCUGCCAGGGAGCCACCUCUCUGACAGGCAAGGCCCAUCAUGUCUCUGGCCAGUGGCAGGAUGGUAAAGGCCAUGUGUCUGAGCAGCGGCUGCUGCCUAAUUUGUGGCCUUUUUACCUCUUCCUCCCACCCCCACCCCGACACCCACACGCGUGGCCGGGGCACUGCAUUCUGGGGUCAGGAGGUGGCAGAGCCUCAGCCAGCACAGCCAUGAGGGGCAGCUGUGGGCUGAGGGGCAGCUCAGAUGGGGUGUCCGUUCAGAUUUGGGGUAUUUCCUCCUGCACCCAGGGCUGGCCUCCUGUGGGGCUUCUGGAUGGAGUAAAGGGACCCAAGGAAGUCACAUCUGGCUGGCAGGUCCCAUUUUCUGAGGGCAACGUCAAGAGGCCCAGAUGGCCAUUGGGUCCACCCUGACAUCUUGAAGGGUCUGGGCGAGGAAAUCCUCAGGUUGGGACAGCUGUGUCCAGGGUUGAGAUCCACAAGGGGCCUGGGGCCAGGGCGCCGUGUGCUGACUCACGCUGGGGAGGGGCUCCCUCCUCUCCCUCCCCUGCGGGCCUGGGGGCACUGUCCCAGCUCUGGAGCCCCCAUCCUGUCAGGCUGAGAGGGAGGUGACGUGGCCUUUGUGCCUGGCCCUGCCAGGCUGGGGCGUGGCUGCUUGGUGUUGGGGUCUCCCCGGAGUAUGGCGGGCAGAGGGCCGUGGGGUCAGUCCCGGCGCGCCACGCUGGCUCCUGAUGCGGAGCACCAGCUAUUCCCAGAACAUUCUGGAGUUCGGGCCACCAUGAUGACGUUCCAUCAGGAGCAGCUCUCCAAGUCCAGCUGUUUGGUGGUAGCUCAGCCCCACCUCUGGGUGCCAGGGGAAAGGCUGGCCCCACCCAGGGCACGGGCGAACGCCGCCCUCCACUCCGUGGCAGCUGCGUAGUGCCAUCUCCAUCUGAGUUUUGCUGCAUCCGUGCACUUCUGUGCCCAGUACCCCCAGGGCCACGCCCAGCAGAGUGAGGGAGGAAGGAGUGGAGGCUUCUGUUUCCAGGCCAAGCCCCGCCGCCGGCCUGGGGUGCAGUCUGUGCAAACCCCAGGCCCCUGCACUGCCAGGAUGGCGGGGAGCUCACUCGGAGCCUUUCCUUAGUGUUGAGCUCUGGGAGGCAGGAACCCCGUCUGCCGUCUCUUUGUCUGUGCUCAAGCCCGAGUGUUGUAAAGACCCCAGGACGUCCGGACGCCUGGGAGGCAUUUUAAUGAGCUUUUCAGAGCCUCUGCUGGUGCAUUUUCUUAAGAAAACAGGAAGGUGGGUAGCUGGGAGGAAACCCCCGCUGGCCCCCCAGGAAGCCGCGUGCUGGGGAGCAGCCUGACGCUCCUUCAGACCCGCAAGGGCCAGGCACUGCAGGCGCCCUCUGUGCCCCUGAGCAGAUGGGGGGGGGGGAGGGGGAGCCUCCAGGCCUUGCUGCCCCCUCCUCCCCCCUCCCCACACCGUGGGCACUGCCUCUAGGCCCCGCCACCAGCCAUCACCCCACCACAGCCACAGCCCCCUGGCUAAAGGUGCCCUGCCCUGCCUGGGGGGAGAGCAGGCUGCAGGACCUGGCAGAGUGAGAGAGCCCGUGGCCGCGUGGGGCCGCUUCAAAGGCUGAGAGGCAGAGCUGCACCCAGAUCAGGGACCAGCAAGUGCAUGGGCUGGAGAGGGCAGCGCUUGGCCGCACCAGGGAGGGCCAGCGUUGGGAUCUGUCCCGGCUGCAGCAGAGGGGACAGACUCAGAGUGUUCUGACGCAGGUGGGGGGAUGCGAGGAUGCAGGAGACCCAGGAGCAGGUGCUGUGUGUGCCCAGGCGGGAGGCCGUGGUGACUUGCGCCUGAGUGGCAGCUGCAGCAGGUGAGGAGCAGAGCGUUCAGAGCACGAUUCAGCGCCUGGCCAGCUCCUAGGGCUUAGGCCGAGCCCCUGGCUGGCGGGGAGGGAGGGUGCUGGCUCUGGGCUCUUGGGGGUCUGGUCUGGAGGGCAUGUCAGGCACCAGCCUCCUGGGAGCACCAAGCCCUGGGCAAGGGCAGUGCGUAGGGAAGGGGAUCAUGGGGUGCCUCGGCCCCAACUCACUGCCCAGCUGGGGGCCCUGCCCUGCGCCAUCUCUGUUUGCAGUAAACAUGCAUUCUGCAUGUGGUCAGCUGGUGAGAGGACAGAGACAGGGCCCAUGGCCCUGGCAGGAAGCAGAGGCCGAAGUGAGGGGCUGGCCACUGCACAGCAGCAGGCGGGAAUGCAGGCGUGAGGCUGGGCCCAGUGUCCGAUGGCCUUUGUCGGCCCCUGAGGCCCGAGGCUGUCCAGCUCAGCUCAGAGGAAGGCAGGCUGGGUGGGCCCCAGGGCAGGACCCUCCCUGGGUGGCAGAUAGCUGUUGGGGUGGUCCAUGAUAUGCACAAGGACACCGAAAGGCCUGCACGAUGGGGCCAGGAUGGCAGAGAGGGGGUCUCUGAGAAGCCAGGGUUUCUGAAUUGGAACCUGGCCUUGGUUACCACGGAGGUGUCUUGGGCAGGGCGGGACCGAAUUCGCUCCACGUCAGCAGACUGCCAGUGUUAGUGCUUAGGUGGGAGGCAAGGUCGCCACCGUGGUUCACAGGCCACAGACUCUGUCACCGUGAGCAGAGGCAGCUCAAGUUCCGUCGUGUCUGCACCAGGGCUGGGUAGCCUCAGGCUACGUCCCACCACCUGCUCCCCUAGCCCCCAGCCAUGCGUUCUCAGCCGAAACCCAGGAGCUCAGCCUGGGCAGCGGCCAGGAACUCUGACCACCAGCCCUGCACACCAGUGGGCCCCUCUCCCAACCCGAUGCCUGGAGAGAAGCUGUUCUCAGGGCCGGCCAAGGUGGACCUGAGGCCCUCCCAUAGGUGGACACCAAGAAGCCCAGCAAAGGUGCUUCACGGACACCCAAGGUGGUGCCUGAGGCUCAGCACAGUGGCUGGCCAGCUCCUGCAUCUGCAGAUCUCUGCUCCGCCCACAGACCCCUGCUCUGCCACCAUAGGCUACAGUGAGGGCGGGCCUGGAGCAUAAGCCCGACUGGGCAUCAGAAGGUGCUGGCCGCUGGCCAGCAGAGAGCAGCACACUUAGGAAUGACCCCAAGAGAGCCUGUCCUGUGCCCCCAGCGGGCCUGAGCACUCUGGAUGCUGGCUCUGAGCCGUCACUGCCCCCGGCCCAGGCCAGAGCUGGCCACCUCCCUGGAGAGCUCCGGCCGCCAAGCUGUUUCCAUUCUCUUUUCCUUCCUUCUGCUAUUUUGGUGCUUUUCCCGAGGGGAAGCCCUUGACACACGGAGCGUUCCCAGAGAGAGCCACUGCUGUUGGUUGGCGGGUCGGGUACAGCUCGGGCCGUGAGCGGAGACGGAGAGGGCCGGGGUCUGUGCUUCGCCCCGGCGCCCAGCACCUGACCCCGAGCAGCACUGACGCUCCACGUGGCGUGUGCCCUGGGCGCUGGGAUCCGCCUCUGGAGCAUCAGCUCGUGAGGAUGGAGACCCUCUCAAGGCCAGGAGCCACGUGGGAGCCUCUGUGGGCAGGGAGAGGGCCCAUGGGUGCCCUGGGGCCCAGUGUUGAGGGGCCAUGGGUCUCUCAUUGUGACCCCUGAAGCUGGUGACCUGGGCCUGGGAUUGUCCAUCAGGAACGUACGCCAAGAGGACGUUCCCAGUGCCGUCCACCAUGGGAAAAUAUUUUAUCAUAGAAAUGUGAGUUUAAAAAAAAGCCUAAACAAGAACCCCUGA